UUUCCGUAGGUGAACCUGCGGAAGGAUCAUUCAUAAUAAGUGUUUUAUGGCACUUUUUUUAAAUCCAUAUCCACCUUGUGUGCAAUGUCAGGGUUGAUUUUUCUCUCGAGAGGAUCAGCCCCAAACAUCAACUAUAUCUCAACUCUUUGUCUGAAAAAUAUUAUGAAUAAAACAAUUCAAAAUACAACUUUCAACAACGGAUCUCUUGGCUCUC
rnacentral:misc_RNA from 1 species